AAGUCGAACGACCUUCUGGUUAUUGCCGCACGGGUAUAGUACGCGUGGCGAUCUGCCCUCAGGAGGGGGAUAACGGUGGGAAAGGGCCGUCUAAUACCCCAUUUGCCGAGAGUGUGAAAUGAUUUUUCCGCGAGAGGAAGACCCCGCGACAUAGAAUAGAAUUGUUGGGGAGGAGAGACCUCACCGACGAUCUCGAUAAGUAGGUGGUCAGAGAAGAUGAUCACCCACACUGGGAGUGAGACAUGGCCCAGACCCCUACCAGAGGCAGAAGGGGAGAAUUUCUCCGAAUUGGACGAAAGCCUGACAGAUCAACCCCGCGUGAAGGAUGAAAGCCUCGGGGCUGUACACCUCUUUUAUCAAGAAAGAAUAUCUGAUUGCUACUUUGAUGAAUAAACAACUGAUUAUUCCGUGCCUGCCACCCGCAGAAAUAGCGGGAGGGGAAAUACUUAUCCUCAAUUGUUGGAAGAAAAAGGGCCGCAACGGGAACCCGCAAGUCUGGAGCUUAAAAAGGGAGCUUCAAUCCCGUCUGG
rnacentral:rRNA from 1 species